GUAAAAAUUCCUGUUGUUCUCAGUUCAUUAUUUAGUGUAACAUCACAUGACCAAGACCAAGUCAGGUUAGAUAGAAUAGUAACUGAUGGUCCAUGAUGUGUGAUCUGAGAGUUCUGCAGUAAAUCAGAAGAUCCUGACAUGGUGAUGAAGCUCCAGAGAUGAACAUCAGCUCAGUGGCUCAGGGAUGAAGUUUAAGAUGAUCUGAAAUCCAUCAUGAGAUCAGAGCACACCAUCUGAGAGAGGAGAGGAGAGGAGAGGAGAGGAGAGGAGAGGAGAAUUCAUUUACAGAAAUUCCACAGAGCCCCUUCCAUCCAUCUCCUCAUGUUGCCAACUCCAUGUGGUGUUUGAGGACAACAACCUCAUCAUUACAACAUUUAUCAACAUAUAUAUAUAUAUAUAUACAUAUAUAUAUAUUUAUUAUUAUUUAUUAU